AAGUCGAACGGUAACAGGCCUUCGGGCGCUGACGAGUGGCGGACGGGUGAGUAACGCGUAGGAAUCUGCCUUAUAGUGGGGGACAACGUGGGGAAACCCACGCUAAUACCGCAUACGCCCUACGGGGGAAAGCGGGGGCUCUUCGGACCUCGCGCUAUGAGAUGAGCCUGCGUUAGAUUAGCUAGUUGGUAGGGUAAAGGCCUACCAAGGCGACGAUCUAUAGCUGGUCUGAGAGGACGAUCAGCCACACUGGGACUGAGACACGGCCCAGACUCCUACGGGAGGCAGCAGUGGGGAAUAUUGGACAAUGGGCGCAAGCCUGAUCCAGCAAUACCGCGUGUGUGAAGAAGGCCUUCGGGUUGUAAAGCACUUUCAAUGGGGAGGAAAACCUGCCGGUCAAUACCCGGUAGCUUGACAUUACCUUUAGAAGAAGCACCGGCUAACUCCGUGCCAGCAGCCGCGGUAAUACGGAGGGUGCGAGCGUUAAUCGGAAUUACUGGGCGUAAAGCGUGCGUAGGCGGUUCGUUAAGUCAGAUGUGAAAGCCCCGGGCUUAACCUGGGAACUGCAUUUGAAACUGGCGAACUAGAGUUGAGUAGAGGGGAGUGGAAUUUCAGGUGUAGCGGUGAAAUGCGUAGAUAUCUGAAGGAACACCAGUGGCGAAGGCGACUCCCUGGACUCAAACUGACGCUGAGGUACGAAAGCGUGGGUAGCAAACAGGAUUAGAUACCCUGGUAGUCC
rnacentral:rRNA from 1 species